CUUCUUGAUACUAUCUUAUGAUCAUAAACAAGCUUCUGUCCAAGUUUGGUAGAAAUUCAGUAUAGUUUAAGAAAGUUAUUAAAAUUUCAAAAACUUUAACCACAGAGUGAAUAUUUGUGGCCGCCGCCGCCGCCGCCGCCGCCGAUGGAAUGUAGGAUCGCUUAGUCUCGCUUUUUCGACUAAAGUCGAUGGCUCGACAAAAACAUUCUCAGUCUAGUUGCCUGUAAACACACAAAAAGAUCCAAGCAAAGUUUUAGGAAAAUAACCGUAUCACUUACACCUAUUGUUUGAGUUUGAUAAAAAUGCAGUGACAUGUAUGAGGAAAUUAUUUUGGCUUUUUUAAACAAUGUCUGAUUAAUAUUAAUGAAACCAUUGAUAUGAUAUUAUGAUGAUAAAGUGUCACAUAAAUAUAAUCAUAUAUACAUCAAAUAUACACAAAUUAACAUCACAUGAAUUCAUACCAACAUUUGAGGCUUGGUCAUGGCACUGUUAAAUUCUGAUUGGUUUUAUUUGUAUCACAGAAGAAUUGACUGCUUAUUUCUCCUAAACAGUUUAUUUGUGUUUCCCGAUGACACAAAUUAAACCAUUCUGACUUUUACAGAUCCAACACAUUUUUCAUGUUUAUGUUUUGAAAGAUGAAAACUGAAAAUUCAGAACUUUUUGUGAGCAUUUAAAUUAGCAAUUGUUGAAUAAUUGACCAAAAUGAAGUUG
rnacentral:lncRNA from 1 species